rnacentral:rRNA from 1 species
AGAACGAACGCUGGCGGCAGGCCUAACACAUGCAAGUCGAACGCCCCGCAAGGGGAGUGGCAGACGGGUGAGUAACACGUGGGAACGUGCCCAAAGGUACGGAACAACUCCGGGAAACUGGAGCUAAUACCGUAUGUGCCCGAAAGGGGAAAGAUUCAUCGCCUUUGGAUCGGCCCGCGUCUGAUUAGCUAGUUGGCGGGGUAAUGGCCCACCAAGGCGACGAUCAGUAGCUGGUCUGAGAGGAUGACCAGCCACACUGGGACUGAGACACGGCCCAGACUCCUACGGGAGGCAGCAGUGGGGGAUAUUGGACAAUGGGCGCAAGCCUGAUCCAGCCAUGCCGCGUGAGUGAUGAAGGCCUUAGGGUGUAAAGCUCUUUCGCCAGGGACGAUAAUGACGGUACCUGGAUAAGAAGCCCCGGCUAACUUCGUGCCAGCAGCCGC